UACGUAGGGUGCGAGCGUUGUCCGGAAUUAUUGGGCGUAAAGGGCUCGUAGGCGGUCUGUCGCGUCGGGAGUGAAAACUCGGGGCUUAACUCCGAGCCUGCUUCUGAUACGGGCAGACUAGAGGUAUGCAGGGGAGAAUGGAAUUCCUGGUGUAGCGGUGAAAUGCGCAGAUAUCAGGAGGAACACCAGUGGCGAAGGCGGCUCACUGGCCCGAUACUGACGCUGAGGUGCGAAAGCGUGGGGAGCAAACAGG
rnacentral:rRNA from 1 species